AUUGAAGGGAGAGAGAAAGGAAACCAACCCAACGCACAAUGGGAAAAAAGAAGAAGCUCUAAGGGCAAAAGGGUCUGCCCAAACGAGUCCUAUGGCUAGGAAUAGUGAAGUGUCUUAUCCUCCCUUCUUGCUCCGUCAAGUACCCUUCACAGAGAAAAGCUUUAGAAAACUUAUCUUCCACCGCUCUAUCCACAUCAUGGACAAACACAUCGGUCUCUCCGUUCUCUCUGUUCCUCGCCAUCAAACCCGCCGUGUAAAUCGCCCUCAUUCUCCCCGGCGCCUCGUCGUGAUACCCAGUUGGCGCAUCCACCAUGAUCAAGUCCCAUUCUAUAUCAUAAACAUCGCUAGGGAACCCCUUGAGUGAAAGUUGACACUUUGAGAAUCUUGGAUCACUCACAACUUUGCAAUCUUCCGCCUGUCCUGUCUCCAUCAACCCAUCUGCUUGAUGCAGUUUGAUGUCGUAGCUCACAUGGUAGGAUUCUAAACUGGGUAUUUUCUCCCUGAUGAUCCAGGACUUGUCUUCUUCAAGGAAAAGUGUGCGGCCACCGUGGUUGAGAGAUGUCCACAUCAGGCUGUCACGGCCAAGGCCAAAGACUAGGAAGUUACAGGGUGAUUUUUUCUCCAGAACUCUUAAGGUGACAGAAAUUUCUUUCAGGGUUUGUUGUGGAGUGAUGUUUGUUGUUGCGUAGUGAACGAGAGCAUUGGCUAAAGAAGGUGAGAUUUUGGUGCAUGUUGGGUUUAAGGGAAGAGAUGGACAGGAAGAGGAAGGUUCUUGAUCAUUGGGUUGCAAGUGGGUUUCUGGUAUGGGUGAUGAAAUUGGGUGAGAAGAUGUGAAAUUGGACCAAAUGAUCAAGAGAAAAAGGGAGAAGAGGAAGAAACAGAGGAGAAUGAGCUUGAUGUUAAUUGGAGAUUGAGUUUUGGACCUCAUGUCUCUGAAUGUGUUUGAUGAAUUUCUUCUGAGAGAUAGAGCUAUGAGGACAGUUUCAUAGAAGUUCAACUUUGGUCUGCCUUAAAGAAAGAGAGUUAGGGUGGACGUGGAAGGAG
rnacentral:misc_RNA from 1 species